rnacentral:lncRNA from 1 species
AUGGACGGAGCUAGAUAAGUUCGAGAGGUUCAUCCUAACUCUCUUUAGUAGAAAAUAAUAUUGUUUAUAUAUAGUUAAAAUUAUUAUUUUAAAAGUAUAUAUAGUAGAUGUUGAAUCCCUAUUGACUUCUUAUUUCGUGUGUUUAUUUCUUCAUAUUAAUGAAAAUUCUGACUGCGUCAUUCAUAAUUUAACGUUACCACUUAAUAUUUUUUAUGUACAUAUAGUAGAUGUUAAACCCCUCACUGACUUCUUAAUUCGUAUGCUUAUUUCUUUAUAUAUACUUGUUUGGCUAUUAGAAUUAUUCAUGUUUUUUUCUUUAAAAAAAGUCACUUUAUUUGAAAAUCAGUGUUUGGUCAUGAAAAUUUCAAACUCACUUAAAGUAGUAUUUGAAAUUUGAAAAACACUCAAAAUCUUAUUUUCCUUUUCACAAUAGUAGACGUUUGACCAUUUUCAGUGUGAAAAUAGAAAAAAAUAAUUUUUAUUUUCAAAAUGAAAAAUGAUAUAUGGUUGUGUUUGACCAUGGAAUAAAUUAUAGGUGGUUUUUUGAAUUUUUGUGAUUAAUUUAGAGCGAAAAAGUGAAUUUGUUGUGUUUGAAAAUUCUGAAAUCCCUGAAAAAAGUUAAAAUACUUUCUUUUUUUCAGAAUUUUAUGGCUAAACAUAUUUAUUGGAGUUCGUAAAAAAUUUCAUGGCCAAACACCUACAUAAAAACAACUAAAUACUAUUUACUAAAAUUAUAACUAAUCACAGCACCAUCUUCAACUUCAACUUAAAAAGUUUCAAAUAAAGUGAAAAGUAUUUGAAAUAGUACAUAAUAGCUCAUAUAUGUUUCAGGUAAAUUAAUCAAAUUGAGUGAUUUUGCUAGUUUUUAGAAAGGCAUACACAUUAACAUGCCUUUUAACUUGGCCUCAGCUAACAUUUAUGCUCUCCAACUUUGAGUGUACAUUACACAACUCAAACUUUAAGAUUUCCAAAUAAAAAUAAUUUUUUAAAAAGCUCAUAGCCAAGGGCCCACUACUAGUAUUUUGAUUUUUAACCUUAAUUAUUAGUAUUAUUUUUCCAAAUUUAAAUGUUACUUGUAUGAUGUAUAACUUAAUUCCUCUUUAACUAUAGGUUAUAGAUGCAAUGACUAUAAAUUUCGAGAAGAAUCGUGUUCACCACGUAGAUCCCUCUACCUUAGAGAUUUUGAGGAACCAAUCCAAGCACCAGAUUCAAUAUCGCCACCUGGUAAAGUUUUGCACAAAAUAUAUUAUUUUACUUGUCUCAAUUUAUUUGGUAUAGUUUAUUAUAUGCAAAAGUUAAAAGAAACAAAAAGUUUUAAGUUAUUGUGUGUGUUACUUCACGAGUUGAUUAGUUGACCUAUUUAGCAGUCCAAUCCAUCAAAUUUUGGACGAGUUAGAAGGAUUACAUAUUUCAAUUGGCGAAGAACACGGUAUGAUGAGAGAUGAUAAUCUUUAUUGGAUUUGAGAUACACAAUUUAAUCUGUUUGGCCAAACUUUUAAAAUUAACUUAUUUUGAAAAGUAUUUUUAUGUAAAAGUUUCUUUUUGAACAAGCACUUUCAGUGAGGAGCUAUUUGUUUAGGCCAAUAAAUAUUUUUGAGCAACAAUUGAUGUUUCAUCAAAUUUCUAAAAAGUAUUUUUGGAUAUAUUUUCUCAAAAAGUAUUUCUCAUACACUUUUUUUUUGGUAAAUAAAAUACUUUAUUUAUCAGAGUUAAUAUGCAUUACACAAAGAGUCACUUACAAAUAGUGUCUAGAAGUACACUAUCAAAGUUAAAAGUGCUUAUUAGUUAGGUGCAGUCAAUUUUAUAUGUUUAUUUAUGUAUUAUAUCAAAUUAUUUACACUAACAAUUUAUAUAGCUUAUGUUAUUUUUCAAGAUUACAGAUCCAUUAUUUACACCCUUUCUUCUUUACAUGUUUGCAGAUCGUGGAUCAUGAACAGAAUAUUAAUUGAGUAACAACAAAAAUUAUAUUGAGCAAGAACUUAAUAUUAUAUUUAUGUUUAAUUAAAUAUGGUGUUGGAGUUGGACAAUUGUAUGUUUGGAAUUUGGAUACUCUAGAAUUGCUUAGUCCAUGAUAGAUCUUCAAUGGAGUUAAGCUAGUAAUAAAUACUCCCAAUACUUAUGUUAAUUAAGUUGAAUUAUGCUUGCACUAUGUAAUUAAUAAGGAAUUAAUACUUAUGUUAAUUAAGGGAAAUUAGCACUUUGUCCUUCAAAUAAUUGGUAAAUUUUUUAUUUAGGACCUUUUGAUUCCUAUUAUAAGCAUGUUUAACCUUCAAUUGAAUUAAACUCAAUGGUACUGCA